rnacentral:misc_RNA from 1 species
CGAACUGCGAUAAGUAAUGUGAAUUGCAGAAUUCAGUGAAUCAUCGAGUCUUUGAACGCACAUUGCGCCCCCUGGUAUUCCGGGGGGCAUGCCUGUCCGAGCGUCAUUGCUGCCCUUCAAGCCCGGCUUGUGUGUUGGGUCGUCGUCCCCUCCGGGGGACGGGCCCGAAAGGCAGCGGCGGCACCGCGUCCGGUCCUCGAGCGUAUGGGGCUUUGUCACCCGCUCGAUAAGGACCGGCCGGGCGCCAGCCGGCGUCUCCAACCUUUUUUUCUCAGGUUGACCUCGGAUCAGGUAGGGAUACCCGCUGAACUUAAGC